AUGAUUCAAGCCACAGCGCAGCUAAGUUUCCAUGACUCCCUAUGGUCCCUUUUUGUGAGCUACGUUCUGGUCAAGCCUUGUGUUGAAUUUCCUUUCCUUGGAAGUCAAGGAGCUAAUGAGGCUGCUUCAUCCUUCAGCUUCAUCUGGAUAUACAGUGGAGCUUCUCUCCUUCCAAAGCGGAGAGCGGUGCAGUCCCUGCAAGCGUGGAGUCAGAGAGGAAGGAUGUACUCUGCACAGUGGGCAAGACUUUUUGAAGUAACCAGAACAGCAACAACAAAAUUAAUGAAGGAUUGCUCAGAAAAUUGCAGUCUUGACUGGGGCGAUAUGUGUCACUUGUACUCAUGGACAGAAAAAAAACAGAAAGAGAAAGAGGUAAAUUCUGCAGAUGAACCAGUACAAUGGCAAAUAAUGGAAGAAAAGAGAAGAGAAGCCACAGAACAGAGGCCAGUGCACAAUGUACAGGGUGAUGGAUACAGCAUCUGGUAUGAUCUCAGGAAAAACAAAAAUAAAUACCUAUAUAUAACACCCGAAGUAUUAGUGCUCUCAGCAUAGGUAUUCCAAUGAAGUGCCUACUUUUAGAGGUGGAUAUUUUAUAUUUUAUUAUUUUAUUUAUUUUAAUAUUACAAACAUAGCCAAAACUUACAAAGGAAGCUGAAAGAAUUGAAGCAUGGUAUUAGAAGGUUUCUUUCAGUCACCUGAAGAGCCAAAGGUUUUAUUUCUUUAACAGCUGUCUUAGAAAAUUUGGCUUUUUGACCCAUAACAUGUCCCCAAAGGAAAAUGUGAAGUAGGAAUAUUUCUGUCUCCAUGUAGAGAGGGAAUAUUGACUAUGUUGUUAAAGUUUAAGCUCUUUAGGAAGUAACACAUGCUGGCAGUUUUCCAACAUAAGAAAAACUAAUGGUACUUUUUUACCACCACCUUUUGGAAUAUAAGCUAAUCAGAUCCUGAAGUAUUUCAUCAAAUACUGAUGACCUUAUUAAGAUGCCUUCCAGGAAGAAAAUUAUUAAAGGGCAUAGAAUUUGUGGCAGGCAAGGUACUAUUCUAUGAGUGAUCAUGGUGAAUUCUACGCAGUGUAAAUAGGAACCCCAAAGAAAAUCAAGUACGCAAUUUCUUUUCACAGAACUCUCUAAUCCACCAUGAAUAACAAAAAUAUUAAUGGAAAUUUCAAAAACAGAUUUUUUUUUGCACUAGUUCCUAAAGAAUAAGACAAUAACUUUAAACUAACAACUUAAGUAUUAUUAUUUAAACUGAAAUAAUAUAACUAGGACAAAUACCCUUUACAAAAGAACUGGAACCUUCCAAAUCUAAAAUUCAGAGCCAGUGAAAAACUGAAGAAUACAUUGAAUUCUGAAACAAAGAAGAAUAUUCAGUCACUGAAAUGCUAUGAAUCUUAAAGAACUGCUAAAAUAUUUUCUAGAAGAAAUAUUUUCUUCCAGAUUAAACGUAUCAAAGCCAUAAUAGUUUCUCUUGACAUAUAAGGAUGAAAAUAAAAAGAAGACCUUCAAGAAUAGGCUGUUACUG
rnacentral:lncRNA from 1 species